AACGUAGGAGGCGAGCGUUAUCCGGAUUUACUGGGCGUAAAGCGCACGCAGGCGGCUUGGUGAGUCGGACGUGAAAGCUCCUGGCUUAACUGGGAGAGGCCGUUCGAUACUGCCGGGCUUGAGGUUGGGAGAGGGGUGCGGAAUUCCCGGUGUAGUGGUGGAAUGCGUAGAUAUCGGGAGGAACACCAGUGGCGAAAGCGGCGCCCUGGCCCACACCUGACGCUGAUGUGCGAAAGCGUGGGGAGCAAACAGG
rnacentral:rRNA from 1 species